GCCAAACCCUAGCUCAUCUCCCUCCGACUCCUCCCACUACCGCCGCCGCCGCUGCCCCGGGACAACAUCAGCAUUGUUCCACUUCAAGGAACGCAAGGGCGCUGCUCCGUCGUCCAGGACCCGGCCGGCGAGAGAGGUGGAGGGCUCACGGAGGGAGAGGCGGGAGAGGGCGACUUUGGCGGAGGCCUGCGCGAGCUCCCGCCGCCGCGCGCAGCAUCUGAUCCACCGUGCGCCUCAUCUAAUCCUCAUCUUGCAUCGACCUUCAUUGAGUCAGCAAGGUUUAUAUGUUGGAGGAGCCUAGCCCAACGACGACGGAGGGACUGAAGAGACCACAAGGAGGACAUGCACUACAUCCAUAUGAAGAGGAGCACCUCAGACAAUGUAUGGCCAACAGUGCAAGGCUUCGACAACUUGGAAUUCCUGCUUUUUCCAGCAUAUUUCCAAACAAUAGUGGCAAUGCUCUAAACAAGAAAAAACCAAAGCAUAGGAGUAAUGAAGACUCCGAAUCUGAGUACGAUCCUUCACAAGAUGAUACUGAUGAAGGGGAUGUGAUUGGUGACGACAAUGAUAAGGGAUCUAAGGAGAAGGCUUGCAAUAAAACUAACAAACAAAGUUCGAACACGACUUCUGCUAAAGUCAAGUUUCGGUCUUCUAAGAGGGUUUAUGCAGAACAUCAACCUAUUAGAGUUACAAGGUCAAAGACAAGCAGCACCCAUCCUGAUGCAAUUUUGACACCAAGUAAUAUCCACGUGCCACCUACAUCCGAGCCUAUUGAUGGCACCCAAGCUACUUUGG